CCAGACUCCUACGGGAGGCAGCAGUGGGGAAUAUUGCACAAUGGGCGGAAGCCUGAUGCAGCAACGCCGCGUGCGGGAUGACGGCCUUCGGGUUGUAAACCGCUUUCGCCUGUGACGAAGCGUGAGUGACGGUAAUGGGUAAAGAAGCACCGGCUAACUACGUGCCAGCAGCCGCGGUGAUACGUAGGGUGCGAGCGUUGUCCGGAUUUAUUGGGCGUAAAGGGCUCGUAGGUGGUUGAUCGCGUCGGAAGUGUAAUCUUGGGGCUUAACCCUGAGCGUGCUUUCGAUACGGGUUGACUUGAGGAAGGUAGGGGAGAAUGGAAUUCCUGGUGGAGCGGUGGAAUGCGCAGAUAUCAGGAGGAACACCAGUGGCGAAGGCGGUUCUCUGGACCUUUCCUGACGCUGAGGAGCGAAAGCGUGGGGAGCGAACAGGCUUAGAUACCCUGGUAGUCCACGCUGUAAACGGUGGGUACUAGGUGUGGGGUCCAUUCCACGGGUUCCGUGCCGUAGCUAACGCUUUAAGUACCCCGCCUGGGGAGUACGGCCGCAAGGCUAAAACUCAAAGGAAUUGACGGGGGCCCGCACAAG
rnacentral:rRNA from 1 species